GCUCCCAUAGUUCAACGGAUAGAACGGGGGUUUCCUAAACCCUAAAUCCAGGUUCGAUUCCCGGUGGGGGCACCA
rnacentral:tRNA from 1 species